rnacentral:tRNA from 1 species
GGUGGCUCAGUGGUAGAGCGUUUGCCUCGCAUGCUUAAGGCCCUGGGUUCGAUUCCUCAGCACCA